AAAGCUGUAGCGGUUCUACUUCAACUUCAUCAAUGAACUUUCGUCACUUUCCCGAGAACAAAUUGUCGAAAUCAUUAUUACAAUAAUAACAGUGCACGCAAAUUCAUUACUCUUAUAUCACCAUGCGGUAACAGUUAUUGAUUCUUCAUUCUUUGGUUUUUGUGUUCUAACUUCGAAAUAACAUGGAACAGAGUAAUUGGGAAGCGGAUAAGAUGCUUGAUGUUUACAUUCAUGAUUAUUUGUUGAAAAGAAAAUUGCAUGCUUCUGCAAAAGCCUUUAUGACUGAAGGGAAAGUCGCCACAGAUCCAGUAGGUAAAUGUUGCAAGCUUAAUUCUUUUCCUAUACACUUUUUUGUUUUUACUUUACAUUUACAUUAUUGUAUUUAGCCAUCAUUGCGUUUUCCCCUUUCAGUUGUAAUACUUGGGAUUUUCUUUCUUAAUCUUCUUCUCCUUCUAAGUGAGAGUUUUUUUGUGUAAUUUGGGUGGCUCAAUUUUUUUUUCCUUCCCUUUGAUGUUCACACUGUCACGCUACCGUAUUGUGCUUUUUCCUGAGACUUCGUAAGGGUGCGGAGAGAGUUUAGAAGGCUGUCACCACCAGUCUACCGCCACUAUCAGAUGGCUGGAACUGCUGCAGAUAUCAAUAUGAUUCUUUUGCACGGCUUUAUUAUAGCUUUGGGAUGGCUCUUUGCAUGAGGAACUGUUACAUUAAUGGAACUAAAUGAAGAGAUAUUUGGAUGACCAGUUUGAAGUUUGAAGAUUUCAAGAAUUGCAAGAUGACAACAUGUAAAUUUUGUGGGCAAAGGUUGCUGGCCAAAUCUGGUGUGGCAUUGGGUUACAUUCAUAAGGUAUCAUGGUGACAUUCCAUCUUUGUUUGUAUGAUCAUCUCUAAAAGGGUCUUGAUAUCUUAAUGAUGCAGAAGAUGUAGAUACAUCUGUGUCAGCUGAAUAUCUCUGCUUAACCAAUUUAUUUUCACUUUAAUAUGAUAAUAUUUGUUACACAUAAUACUUUUGAUCUUAUUGUUUUACCCACUAAAAGAAGAGGAAGUUCUUUCAACAUUAAGAGUCCUCUUAUUUGUAGGGAAGAGAGUCAGAUUACGGAAAUGGGCAAUUUCAUCAUUAUUUGAAGUAUGUUGUAGUUUCAUUCUCAAAGGUUCUUGCUACGUCAUA